CUAAAAACAAAACCUCACCCUGGAUUGGCUCCAGAAGAGUAGAAAGCAUUCACUCCUCUGAGAAGUGAGCUGUGAUCAACUGAAGAAGUUCUCAAUGCAUUCCCUAUGGAAGGCUGCAGUAGAACUCAUCACCACCUUCGUAGAGUUGAAGACACAGUAUGUUCCCUGCUGCAUUCAGAUUCAAGGGCCACUUAGUACAGAAGGCUCACAGUAGAUGUGAAAGCUGAGAGCAUGCAGGGAAAUCACUGGCAGCAGGUUGGGUCAUGGACAGAGACACAUGGAUACAGUGAGAGCAUUCCAAGCUCAUUGAGUCACCAGGAGAUCGAUUUACCAGCCCAGAAGGUCACUGAAGAUUCAGCCCAGAGAAAAGAGUGUCUGGGAGUCUGAAGACCCAGCUAGGGCAAACACAGGUGAGGGUGGGGAGUACCACCAUCUUAGAGGUGAAGCUGGAAAAACGUGGUGAGAUGGAUUCAUACUGUACAAGAUGUGAGGAAUAUCCUUUUUAUCACAAGAAAGACUAUGAGAAUCCACCAAUGGAGGAGUGGCUAUUCACAAAGUCUUUCAGGGCUGGGUGUUUAUUCAAGUCCUUAAGCCAUCUGGAACUGUGGGCUGGACUUGGACAUCCUCUUCCUUGGAGCUCUUCCCCCUUUUCCCUUCCAAGAUGGACAGUGGAAGAUUCAGUAAACAUUAUUACUGUUUCGAUCUGAUGGGAUUCUGGGAGAGAGACACCUGGUUAAGUUCACACCCGUGAUUAUCAUUUUUACUGAGAGAACCAUGCCAUGGAACUCAAGAUGCUCCUACUGACAUGUGUGACUAUCUCCAUAUCCACAAGUAGAACUAAUGUGAUCAGGCCUCCCUGCCUUUCUAGAUUCUGGUAUGUAUCAAAGUAUGUAAGCGAUGUCUUGAAAAAUAAAUUUAUACUAUGAAGAUAUGACA
rnacentral:lncRNA from 1 species